rnacentral:lncRNA from 1 species
UAUUGAGAUAUCAUUCCACAAAGAGGUAUUCUAGCAUACUUGUUGACAUGGUUAAGUACAGCUUCAAGCAUUUUACCACCAACAUUGUCAAGGUAAACAUCAAUACCAUCAGGAAAAUACCUGCAAAAUUCUAGUCUAUAUAUUAGUAAUUUAUGUCAUGAAUCUUUCUAAGCACAAAAUUUAUGUCAUGAAUCAUUCUAGGUAAUUUAUACUUCACAAUUUAGUAAUUUACAUUUGGCAAGUUCCUUUAUACAGGGCCAGUCCAAUCCUUAUGCAACUAAAGCAAUGGUUUUAGGCCUACCAACGUUUUACGUUAACGUAUAUUAAAAAAAAAACCCGAGUUUAAGCCAAAAACAACAUGUGAUUUAAAAGUUGAUGUCUCUAACCUCUAGUAACAAUGAGUUUGAGGUGUGCCGUGUGCCGGCCUUGCCUCUUUAUACAUCAAUAUCUAAAAGGAAAUGAAAUGAUAAAGAGAAAAAAGAUGAAUUACAUACUUGCUUAAAGCGGCGUCAAAAUCUGAUUCCGCAUUAUAGUUGAAACCGUCGUCAUAUCCAAAUUCCUCUUUAAUGAGGUUGACCUAAAAAAACCAAAAAAAGUGUAACUUGUAAGUAAUUUUCUUGCGAAUUUUCAUAUAUAAAUUACAAGAAAAGAAAGAAAAGAUAAGUCACCUUAUCAUCGGAGCCCGUGCUUCCGAUGACCCGACAUCCUCGGAUCUUAGCAAGCUGGCCAGCACUCAUACCUACAGCACCAGAUGCAGCAGAUAUGAAUACAUGUGAUCCUGGUUUUGGAUCUCCUAUUACCUCUAUUCCCAACCAUGCUGCAAACCCCGCUACUCCUGCAAUUUUGAAAAACAAAAUAUACUUAAAUAUAAGUCUUACUUAAAAAAUACUACGCACAUUAUGUCAAAAAAUUAUUAAGUGUUUUAGGAGAUGAAAAAUCAAAAUUGAACCCAUCUAUAUACAAAAGUGCUUAUAAUCAGGACUAGGGUAGUAAUUUUUUAGGACCAGGGUAAUACUCCAUGCGGUCUCAUAUAAGAAAAUAUUCUUUUUUAGAUUCAUUGAAUAAAUAAUGUAUAUGGUUUUCAUUGUAAGUCAGGUACAUUACUUAUUCAAUGAACAUAAAAAAAGAAUUUUUUUCUUAUAUAUAAGAUUGGAGGGAGUAGUUCUUUAAGAAACAGGUACAUUAAGUCUAUGUUUAAAUUCUCAUAUGAGCCUGAAGAAUCAUAAUAAACCAUUGUGAUUUUGAUAAAAAUUGUACUUUAUAUUUCAUUAAUAUUGUAAUAUUACCGUGAUUUUUCAAGUUAAACAUGUCAAUUAAAUUAUUAAAAAAAACAUGUUUUUUUUUUGUCUAGUUGCCUAGAAAUUCACUUCUUGAGGUGUGUUGCAUAUAUAAUACAUUGUCUCUACCGACUGAGUUAAGCUAGUGAGAACUAAACACGUUGUAUUUAAGAAAUGGUUAUAAUUUUUUAAGGAAAUGGUUAUAAUUAAAAUGUCCCUUUUUAAGAAAGAGACAUUAUAUUUUUUUUGAAAGAUGAUAUUUUAAGAAAAGGAUAUACAUACAUACACAUAUACAUAUAUAUAUAUAUAUAUAUAUAUAUAUAUAUAUAUAUAUAUAUAUAUAUAUAUAUGCUAACUUAGACCAACCUACAAAUAUUAAAGUGUUAGCAAGUAUGCACCUUUUUAUUUGGACAAAAAAUACUCACUUGUGACCAAUGUAGUCAAGAUCGAGAUCCUACGUAGAAUCGGUUGGUUGGUGAAAGAACGUAAACACGAGGAACGUAACACGGUUCGUAAGUAGGAUCAGUAGAUAGAAUUGAGAGAAAUGUAUAGAGAAAAUAGAGGGUAAACAAAGGAACCAUGCAUAAAACAGAUAUAAUAAAGGGAAAACAGAGGAACCAAGCAACAAAAUAUAGAAAAACAGAGGAAACAGACGAAAUACGGCAAAAACAGAGGAAACGGAAGAAAAUGGCAAAACAAAAAAAAAAACAGAGGAAAUAGAGCAAAACCAAAUCAGAGUAAAAAUUGAAGCACGGUCGAGAUGUCGUGGCACGUAAGAUCGUGCGAUCCUACGAGCCGGGACUCGUUCUUGACUACAUUGCUUGUGAGUAUUCAAACAAGUUUUAAAUGAAAUGUUAUUUUUGUAAAUUUAAGAAACAUUUUUUGGAAUGUUUUAUUGAAAAUUAAAAAAUUGAGUGCAAUUUACUAAAGUGUCCUUUAUUUUAAAUUGGUUUGAUUAAUGGAGGCAAGGAGAUUUUUGUCGAAAUGAAAAAAUACCUACUUGCUAGACCUUUUUAGUUUAGUCUAAGUUACCAAACAAAUAUAUAUAAAUAUAUAUUUGGGUGUGAAAUUAAAAAGAAAUAUAGAAAACGAACCUAAAGUACCAAGAUAAUCUGACAGUGAAAUCCCAUUAGCAGGAUCAAUUUUCCUCAUUAUGUCAGAAGAGGGUACAAUACUAUACUCAGCAACGUAACCAUUCCCAUUCAAAAGGAUAUCUCCUUCAGUGUAUUUACUAUCCUUUGAUCGAAUUACUCUUACAAUUGCAAAUACUCUUUUAAGCACCUGCAAAUAUAUAUAUUCAUAUUAUGUAAUGAAUUAAACAACAAUAUAUGCAUAUACAUACGUAUAAAAUAGAGUCUAGAAUUGAAUAUAUAAAAAUCUCGUAACAUCACUAAAAUUAAAUCUCCAAAUUAUUAAAUAUCAGAAUCACUUUUUAUUUCUUUCUAAUACGUAACAAACAACUCAUAAAUGUAUGUACCUGAUUAAUCUCAUGUUGUGGCAUAUAAAGGCCAUCGAUGGUGCCGGUGAUUGUUCUGCGAAGAUAAGGAUCAACGGAGAGAAGGAGAGUUUCGACGGCUAGAUGGUUAUCAGGGAUUGAAUCGUCGGCAAGAGAACGAGAAACAGUCCGGAGUUUAAGAUGAUCUGAGGUCGGAACACCUUCAGGACAAUAUUCAGCUAAGUACCAUUCUCUGCUUUCUACCAUAUUUUCCAUGAUUUUUCUCUUCUUUCGUCUUCUUCUUUCUAGCAGAUAAUUAUAGUUUUACGUACUUCCCAUGCAAUGUCACCAACAUGUAGUGUUUGAUUCUCACGUAUGAAAUUGCAUGUGGCUUAUGCUUAUCAUUUGUCAAAUUAGAUGCGGAAAUGACGAGGAAAAAAUAGAGUAUGGAAGAUCUAUUUUUAGAUCCGGCAGAACAUUAAUAUAUAGCCAUGCAUGCAACUUUUUUGAGGAGCUUUUUUUUUGGGCAACCUUCUUGAAUUUGGAAUUUCUUUUUAAACAUAACCUAACUAGGAAAUUUUAAUUUGUCUAGAAAAUAAUAACAUAUUUUAUAUUGAAAUAACAAAUUGUGUUCAAGUGCUUAAUAAACUUUAACUUCGGUGGUGUCUAACAUCGACACGACAUCCACAUUUGUAAUUACAAUAAAAUGUUUUUUUUUUCAAAAUUUCAUCAAUGUUUACGUGUUGGUGUCUAUGUUCGUGCUCAAUAAACUUCAACGAAAGACAAAUUAUUCAUGAGAAUAUAAUUUGAUUCUUGGUUAAACAAUUUUUUGUAUAGCAAAAAAUAAAUGACAUGUAAAGCCCAAAGCAUUGAAAUAUUCAGCCACACUAACCUAAAAAUUAAUAGAUUGAAACAUUCAGCCACACUUACAUAAAAAUUAAUAGUUAGCACAUCCAAUCAAAUAAUUACAAUUAACAUAAAAAUUAAUAGAUUGAAACAUUCAGCCACACUUACAUAAAAAUUAAUAGUUAGCACAUCCAAUCAAAUAAUUACAAUUAGGUUGGACAAUAAUAAAAGUUAGGUCUAGUUAACCGGUGUUCAUGUUGCACUGGUUAACAUUUCCAAUGAAUCAUUUCCUUUUACAAUUUCUUUAACAAGUGUCUUGGGACACCGGUUAACAUUUCCCAUAAAAAUUAGAUAUAUUAAAAAUGGAAGACUUACUUGCAGUAUUAACCCCUCAAGUUUCACAAAUGUGUGAUUUUGACCUCCCAAGUUUAAAAGGUGCUAUUUCAACCCCACAAGUUUGUCUCCUUUUUUGAUUUACCACCUCCAUUCAUAUUUUGACUAAAUUGAGAUGUGGAUUUUAAUCAUACAUGCGGCAUGAUCUAAUUAGAGUGCCCUAGGCGAAGUCGUCAACCAUAUCCAAGUUACUGAAAAACUCUAAGUACUCCACAACAACAUAUGUUGCGUUCUUGUCUAAGAAGAUGAUGGAGCCCACCAAGAAAAGAAAAGCAUAUACACUCUGAUGGUGUCGUGAUCAAUUAAGUUGUAACUCGUGGUGGUGAGGUAUGUCAGUCCACUUUAUCUAAUGGCGUCCACGAAUUCGAACCACAUUCCAACUGGACUAUUUAGACAAAUCUUUUUUCGAUUUUAGAAUAUGAAAACAUGAACAACAUAUUUUGGAUUCUAAAAUCCAAACGAGACCAUUACGAAAGAAAGGAGAAAAAUUACAAUUGAAAAUGCUGGAUUUAAGCCUAACAUCUUGUUUAGUAGUUAAAAACUUCACAAAUGUGAUGGAUUCAAGCAAGAUUUAAUGAAAAGUGGCACGAUAUAGUAGGUUUUGGAUUUGGCGGGAUUGAGUUUUCUUUUCAAUAGUAAAUAAAAAUGAAGGAGUAGGAGGAAGAGGAGGGAUUCGAAAGGUAUAUAGGAUGGUGCCAUUUAAUUUGGGAAAGCAAACUUCUUUCCCAUCAUAGGAAAGUAAAUCUCAACCAUUAGAUUCAAGAGAAACAUUGAUUUUAUCAUAGUCUUUCUACAUUAUAUUUUUUCCCCUUUAUCUUCAACCUUACAAUCAUCAACCAAAUAUGAUUAGAUAUAUUACUAGAUUACGAUUUCAUUUUUUAAUCAGAUUUCAAUUUUAGUUUAGUUUUAAAGGAAGCGUUAUGAAAUCUGAAAGCUAUUACUACUGAAAUGGAAAACAAUGUUGGAAUGUGGAAGCAAGAAAUCAUGAUGAUGGAAAUAGAAAACGAAGUGUUUGAUUCAUCUGAAACUGAUUUAGAUUACGAAUUCGACGCGCCUCGCUUCUUCGAUUUCACUGCACAACAACAACAAUCUCUAACUCAACUUCCACAACCUGAACGGUGGUUUCGAAACCACCGGAACCUAUCCUCCUUCUCGUUCGUUCUCUCAUUCAACUUUUCUUCUCUAUCUCUCUUUAGUAAAUGAGUGUUCUUGUUGAUUCCAUUAGAACAAAAAGGGUUGUUAUGGUAAUUUCAAGCAAUUACAAUGAAAGAGUUAAUACCAAAAUCGGUGGUGCUGGUGGGGUUUAUUUGUGUUGGUUGAUGAUUGUAAGGUUGAAGAUAAAGGGAAAAAAAUAUAAUGUAGAAAGACUAUGAUAAAAUCAAUGUUCCUCUUGAAUCUAAUGGUUGAGAUUUACUUUCCCAGAAAAGAAGUUUACUUUCCCAAAUUAAAUGGCACCAUAUAGGAUGUGUUCAGAUUAUACAAUCGGAACAAAAAAAAUAAAAAAUGCUCUAGGUGUUUUCACAAAUACAAGGAAAGAAUGAGGGUUGGGACGUAGUUAAAGACAAAAUUAGUAACACUAGCACCUUAGACUGUCACACAUUAAAAAAAAAACAUAACCAAAAGAUUAGGCAACAAGUUUUUUAAGUUAGCAACUAUUUUGUGUCAUCAUUAUUUAAAAUUAAUGUGUCCGUCCCUGCAAAAUAAUCUUAAAUAUUAUUACAUUCACAUGAAUAUCUUUUACAUAUCCAGAAAAGUUUGAAACAGAAGACCAAAAGAUGAAAAAUAUAUGGUUAAAACAUACACUCUGCGCAAAUAAUACAUGAUUAUGAUCAAGCAUAUAUAGUAUUUGGACACUAUGCCUUAACUUGAACAACAACUUUUCCAAUGUUGGAGCUAGAGAAUAAAGAGUUCAAGCUCUCCAGAAAUCCCUCAAUUCCGAUAUUUAUUUUAUUCUUUGACUUAACCUUGCCUUCUUGCAAGUAUUUUUCCAUAUCUUUAGCAAAAUCUCCAAAACGAUGCCAGUAUGAUUCUAGCAUAAAACCCUCCAUCCUCACCUGCUUUCCCACCAUAUUCAGAAGAUUCCUAACACCUUCUCUUUCGGUCCAAACCUAUAACAACAUUAUAACAAUUUACUAAUUAGAAAACCAAAGUUUUUGUGCAUUUAAUAAAUUAUGUAGUCGUGUAUAUAUGUGCUAGGUUUAAAAUGCAGUUGAUAAGGUGUACACAAUAUAUGUUCACCUUGUUAUAUUGAGAUAUCAUUCCACAAAGAGGUAUUCUAGCAUGCUUGUUGACAUGGUUAAGUACAGCUUCAAGCAUUUCACCACCAACGUUGUCAAAGUAAACAUCGAUACCAUCAGGAAAAUACCUGCAAAAUUCUAGUCUAUAAUAUUAGGAAGUUAACUUAAUUUUCUAAAACUAAAAUAUUUAACUAGAUCCUUCUGAGUAUGCCAAUUUAUGUCAUGAAUCUUUCUGAGUGCAAAUUUAUACUUCAAAAUUUUC